GACGAACCGUGCGAACGUUGUUCGGAAUCACUGGGCUUAAAGGGCGCGUAGGCGGGCUGCCGCGUCCGGGGUGAAAUCCUCCCGCUCAACGGGAGAACGGCCUCGGAUACGGGCGGCCUCGAGGGGGGGUAGGGGCAUCUGGAACUGUGGGUGGAGCGGUGAAAUGCGUUGAUAUCCACAGGAACUCCGGUGGCGAAGGCGAGGUGCUGGACCCCUUCUGACGCUGAGGCGCGAAAGCCAGGGGAGCGAACGGGGAUUAAGAU
rnacentral:rRNA from 1 species